AUUGAACGCUGGCGGCAUGCCUUACACAUGCAAGUCGAACGGCAGCACGGGUGCUUGCACCUGGUGGCGAGUGGCGAACGGGUGAGUAAUACAUCGGAACGUACCUUAUCGUGGGGGAUAACGCAGCGAAAGCUGUGCUAAUACCGCAUACGCCCUGAGGGGGAAAGCGGGGGAUCGAAAGACCUCGCGCGAUUAGAGCGGCCGAUGCCUGAUUAGCUUGUUGGUGGGGUAAAAGCCCACCAAGGCGACGAUCAGUAGCUGGUCUGAGAGGACGAGCAGCCACACUGGGACUGAGACACGGCCCAGGCUCCUCCGGGAGGCAGGAGUGGGGAACUUUGGACAAUGGGGGCAACCCUGAUCCAGCAAUGCCGCGUGAGUGAAGAAGGCCUUCGGGUUGUAAAGCUCUUUUGUCAGGGAAGAAACACCGGCUCUAACACAGUCCGGGAAUGACGGUACCUGAAGAAUAAGCACCGGCUAACUACGUGCCAGCCGCCGCGGUAA
rnacentral:rRNA from 1 species